rnacentral:rRNA from 1 species
AACGGACGCUGGCGGCAUGCCUAACACAUGCAAGUCGAACGAACCCUUCGGGGUUAGUGGCGCACGGGUGCGUAACGCGUGGGAAUCUGCCCUUUGCUUCGGAAUAACUCAGGGAAACUUGUGCUAAUACCGGAUGAUGUCUUCGGACCAAAGAUUUAUCGGCAAGGGAUGAGCCCGCGUAGGAUUAGGUAGUUGGUGGGGUAAAGGCCUACCAAGCCGACGAUCCUUAGCUGGUCUGAGAGGAUGAUCAGCCACACUGGGACUGAGACACGGCCCAGACUCCUACGGGAGGCAGCAGUGGGGAAUAUUGGACAAUGGGCGAAAGCCUGAUCCAGCAAUGCCGCGUGAGUGAUGAAGGCCCUCGGGUCGUAAAGCUCUUUUACCAGGGAUGAUAAUGACAGUACCUGGAGAAUAAGCUCCGGCUAACUCCGUG